GAUGAACGCUGGCGGCGUGCCUAAUACAUGCAAGUCGAGCGAACAGAUGAGGAGCUUGCUCCUCUGACGUUAGCGGCGGACGGGUGAGUAACACGUGGAUAACCUACCUAUAAGACUGGGAUAACUUCGGGAAACCGGAGCUAAUACCGGAUAAUAUAUUGAACCGCAUGGUUCAAUAGUGAAAGACGGUUUUGCUGUCACUUAUAGAUGGAUCCGCGCCGCAUUAGCUAGUUGGUAAGGUAACGGCUUACCAAGGCAACGAUGCGUAGCCGACCUGAGAGGGUGAUCGGCCACACUGGAACUGAGACACGGUCCAGACUCCUACGGGAGGCAGCAGUAGGGAAUCUUCCGCAAAGGGCGAAAGCCUGACGGAGCAACGCCGCGUGAGUGAUGAAGGUCUUCGGAUCGUAAAACUCUGUUAUUAGGGAAGAACAAAUGUGUAAGUAACUAUUCACGUCUUGACGGUACCUAAUCAGAAAGCCACGGCUAACUACGUG
rnacentral:rRNA from 1 species